ensembl:lncRNA
ACAUUGUAAAGCAAACCGUACUCCAAUAACGAUUAAUAAUAAUAAUAACCCCUCCAAUAGCUAGCAGUUAAACCACUUGGGUAUUCAUUCCUUCCCCCAGUAGUUGAGCGCCUACUCUGUUCCAGACACUCUUCCAGGCACUGGAGAGAAACAAAGGGGGUUGGAUACAACAAACUCAGACUCUGCCUUCCUGGGGCCAGAGGGGUCACAGACCCUACAGCAAAUAAUCAUACGGUCAAACACAGUGAUCAGAGCCACCAGGGAGGGCUUCUCCGAGGUGAUGCAAAGGCAGCUGGUUAGGUGCUUCAUUUGGCCGGUGUACAUGGAGCAGCAAGUGUGUCAGAGACUGUGCUGGGUGCAAGGGGUGUCGCACGAGCCAGGCAGACCCAGUUCGUGCCCUCGAGGCGUGGACAGCCAGUGGAGGAGACACACCAAAUGGGACUGAAGCAGAACCUGUCUGAACCACUGGAGGUCUAGAGUAAUAUGUGAAGUGCUCGGAAUAGCACACGGCACACAGUAAGUGCUCGAGAAAAACCGAAGCUACUGUGAUCUCAGGUUCGUAAUUUGAGAGGCAAAGCUGAGGAGGCAGAGUGAAAGAAAGUGAAAGUGUUAUUCGUUCAAUUGUGUCCGACUCUUUGCAACCCCGUGGGAGGUCCAUAGGAUUCUCCAGGCAAGAAUACUGGAGUGGGUUGCCAUUUUCUUCUCUAGGGGAUCUUCCUGACUCAGGGGUCGAACCGGGGUCUCCUGCAUUGCAGGCAGAUCUUUUUUUUUUAACCAUCUGAGACACCAGGGAAGCCCAGUGAGUCAGGGUUGAAUUCCUACUUCAUCCCUUUCCAGCUCUGUGACCCUGGUUAAGUCUCAUAACUUAACUGGGUAUCAAUUUUCUUAUCUGUUCAUUGAAGAUGAUUUUUUGAAAAACUUGUUUGGCGGCUCCAGGUCUCAGUUGCAGCAUGUGAGAUCUAGUUUCCUGACCAGGGAUUGAACCCGGGCCCCCUGCUUAGGGAGUGCAGAAUCUUAGCCAGUGGACCACCGGGGAAGUCCCGGUUAAGAUGAUCUUGAUACUCACCUCAUCAGGGGUUUGAGAGCUUCUGUGUACAUAUGAAAUAGAGGGAAAGCAUUCACUUCACAUGUAAAGAAAGUGUCCAGAGCACUUCGUUUUUUGCUCCAUGUGCCCAGCAGGUUCCGCGUCUCCAGACCAUCUGCGAUGUGCUUGAUCCUGUGCUCUUCCCAUCCUAAAAACCACGCGGCCUGACAACCGUCUUCCGAGGCAGGCAUUAGCAACCCAUUUCACAGAAGUGGAAACUGAGUUCUGAAGAGAUUAGACAGGCUGCCCAAAGCAGACGCUCACGAGCACCUGCUUCCCUGGGCUGCUCUCGAAGUGAACUCCUGUGACAGCCCCCCCAUUUCCUGUGGCGUCAGAGGCAACUGGGGCCUCAACCUCCCUCACACACUCGGCUGUGUGUUCCUGCCUCCACGCCCCCCUCCCCAAGCCUGGCCCAGCGCUGGCCUCAGAAACGUUGGUUGCUGUCAGACAGAAUCUACAGGCCCAAAGAGCUGUGCUGUCCCCGUUACCUCUCCACACCCUCAGCCUGCUUCUUCAUCCUCUGGCCAACCGGAAGGAAACUCAGCAUGGCCCUCGUACCCCUGAACAUCUCCCUCCCUACCAGGGCGAGAAGUAGGUGACAGGCACAGGAAAUCCCGUGGACAGAGGAGCCUGGCGGGCUGCAGCCCAGGGAGCCGCACAGAGUUGGACAUGACUGAGUGACUCACACUUUCACAUUCAUCUCUGGAGGGGCGUCACUCUGCUUGCCACAAACCUGGAAUCCAGGCCCAACCCAGCCUCUGGAGCUUCCCAGAACCCUGAUUUUAUUGGGAUGGCAGUCAGCCAGCUAAAAGCUCUCAGCCUCCUGAAGUCCCUGUGACAGCCGGGAGCGGCUAUGUGAUCCAGGUAUGAGACAUGAAUAUUAAGCAGAAUUUGCCAAGUGGGGCCCCUGGGAAAGCUUUUUGAAAAGAGACAAACAUAACAGGUGCUCUGCUCACCCCUGUCCUCUUCUUCCGGCUACAGUGUGGAUACGAGCUAGAGAGAAUGGCCAUCUUGCAACCACGACCAACCGUGAGGACAAGAAGGCCAAGUGAAGAAACAGGAAGAACCUGGUGCCCUGGUGGCAUCACCGAGGCACCCUAGCAGCCCAAGACGCUUACUGUUGGGCUUAGUAACAGGAGAUGAUAGAACUUACCAGUGGUGAGAUUCUUGCAGCUGAAUGCAUGCCUGCUGGAUCCACUCCCCUGCCUCUGGAUUUCUAAACUCAUGAGAAAAUACAUUUCCUUAAUGAUUAAGCAUUUUGCACCGGGUUUCCUGUCCUUGCAGUUGAAUGCAUCCUAGAGUAUCCUGCAUUUUGCAGUGAGGUGACUUCUGAUAAAUGAGAUAUGCCUGAUCUUGGACUUGACCGACAUGGGUGUUGGGGGCAGGGAUCCCGCCCACGCCUGCUGGAGAAUCAGAGGGUCAAAGAGAAGACUUCUGAUAUCCAGCGCAUCUUUCUGCCAGAACCAAAAAGACUAAGGCCUCAGGGUUUACUUCGGCUUCAGAUUAUCUGUGAAGAGUUCUUACUGAUUUGUCAGUUUGCUUAUUUGUUUUUGAAGGAAGAAAGCUAAGGUUCAAGGAGACAAAUUUAUCACCUAAGGCUCUCAGCCAGAGCGAGGUCUGCUGGUUUCUGGGAUCAUCUUCUUUUUCCUCCUCCUCUCUGGACCCAUGUCUUCCCAUCAGUAGGAUGAGAUUAACUCAAGAUCAAAGCUUUUCAAACGUUUCAUUUCAAAGUGGGCAAAACCCUUUUACAGCUGAACUCUUACUUGUUGUCCCACUCAUAAAAAAAGACAAAAGCAGCUGCUUGUCGUGGGGCGGGUCAGGAGCCUGCAGCCUCCUCCCCGGGGCCUGGGUCCACUGGCGUCUCACUGCCGCCCCGGGGUUGCAGCGGGCUUUCAGCAGACAGCAGCCCAGAUUGUCCCGAGGCCUGCAGGAAAGCCUGAGUCCAAGAGGGGAGUCUCCGAUCUUUCAAACAGUGCGAACAUGUAUCGUGGAAGACAGUCACGCACACAGCGAAACAAAACCAAAACCAAAAACUUUCGAACAGUGCAAACGGGACGAAAAGUCACCUUCCUCUCGUCUCUGACUUGCCACUCUUCCCCCAAAACACAGGGCCUUGUCCUCUGAGAGAUGGUCUGUAUGUCUCCCAAGAGAUGUAUGUACACAUACUGUCCCAUCUUGCCUUACACACACACGCACACACACACACACACACACACACUCUAGCAUCUUGUAAUCACUUUGUAUCUUUUCUCAGUUAAUGUUGCAUCUUGGCAGUUUUUCCAAAUCCGUACUCAGAGGUCUGCUUCAUUCACUUCAGUGGUUACCUGAUACUGGAAUACUAUUUAAUUUAAAAUACCCUUAUUCUUGACUAAGACGUACGAACUACUGUGAAAGUGAAAGUGCGGGUCUCUCCGUCCUGUGUGGUUCUCGGCGACCCCACGGACCGUAGCCCGCCCGGCUCCUCUGUCCUUGGAAUUCUCCAGGCAAGAUACUGGCGUGAGUUGCCAUUUCCUCUUCCAGGGGAUUUUCCUUACCCAGAGAUCGAAUCCGGGACUCUUGCAUUGCAGGCUGAUUGUUUGCCAUCUGAUCCACCAGGGAAGCCCUACAAACCACUACGAAUAGAAUAAAUAAGAUAUAAGGAUAUACUGUACAGCCAGGGAAUAUAGACAGUAUUCUAUAACAACUUUAAGUGGAGUAUAAUGUACAGAAAUAUUGAGUCUCUACACUGUAUACCUGAAACUAAUGUAAUAUUGUACACCAACCAUACCUUAAUUAAAACAAAAAUAAGAAAAGGAAAAAACAAAGAAAUGGGAUACUAAAAACAAACGAAACUUUCCUCUUCUUGGAUACUCAGGUUGCUUCCAGUCUUUUACUGUGUUAAAGAAUCCUGCAAUUUAGGUGGGAGGUGGGAGGAAGGUUCAAAAAGGCGGUGACAUAUGUAUACCUAUGGCGGACUUAUGUUGAUGUGUGGCAGAAACCAACACACUAUUGUAAAGGAAUCAUCCUUCAAAUAAAAAUCAAUACAUUAAAAAAAGAAGAA